rnacentral:ribozyme from 1 species
CCCUGGCGCAGCCGGCCGCCUCAGCGUGGCGCCAGGGUCCAGCACACUCGCCAGAGAGGAAGCUAAGCGCCUG